rnacentral:tRNA from 1 species
GGAUUGUGGCUCAGUGGUAGAGUGCUGGCCUAGCACACAUGAGGCACUGGGUUCAAUCUACAGCACCA